UACGGGGUAGGGCAGUGUUGUCGAAUUACUGGGCGUAAAGGGCUCGUAGGCGGCCAACUAAGUCGGAUGUGAAAUCCCCAGGCUCAACCUGGGAACUGCAUCCGAUACUGGAUGGCUUGAAUUCGGGAGAGGGAUGCAGAAUUCCAGGUGUAGCGGUGAAAUGCGUAGAUAUCUGGAGGAAUACCGGUGGCGAAGGCGGCAUCCUGGACCGACAUUGACGCUGAGGAGCGAAAGCCAGGGGAGCAAAGCGGG
rnacentral:rRNA from 1 species